rnacentral:rRNA from 1 species
GGGGAAUAUUGCACAAUGGGCGAAAGCCUGAUGCAGCAACGCCGCGUGAGUGAUGACGGUCUUCGGAUUGUAAAGCACUUUCGCCGGGGACGAUGAUGACGGUACCCGUAGAAGAAGCCCCGGCUAACUUCGUGCCAGCAGCCGCGGUAAUACGAAGGGGGCUAGCGUUGCUCGGAAUGACUGGGCGUAAAGGGCGUGUAGGCGGUUUACACAGUCAGAUGUGAAAUCCCCGGGCUUAACCUGGGAGCCGCAUUUGAUACGUGUAGACUAGAGUGUGAGAGAGGGUUGUGGAAUUCCCAGUGUAGAGGUGAAAUUCGUAGAUAUUGGGAAGAACACCGGUGGCGAAGGCGGCAACCUGGCUCAUUACUGACGCUGAGGCGCGAAAGCGUGGGGAGCAAAC